AGCUUUGCGCAGUGGCAGUAUCGUAGCCAAUGAGGUUUAUCCGAGGCGCGAUUAUUGCUAAUUGAAAAAGAGAAGUGAGCUUAGUUUAGGAUGAUUCACUCUUAGUAAACCUUUGUUGUCUUCUUGUAA
rnacentral:snRNA from 1 species